CUUGGGGAUUUCUGGCCCAUCUUUGGGGGAAAUUUUGGGGUAGGGGCUCUGAGUAGCUUGUUAGACACAUAUAGGAAAUAACAAGGGAAGCCAGAGCCUCCCUGGCUCCCAGUCCCAGGGCAGCUGCCUCCUCCUUUGUACCUUUGCUCUUUUGUUGGUCUGCUGUGCUGCGUUGGGCAUCUGGGGGUCAGAGGAGGACCUGGGGGUGGGGAUCUUGAGAAAUCCUUGUGUUUAUCGCCACAGUGCCUGAAGGUUACAAGAGAACUUAGCAGACUCCUGGGCCCCCAUCAAAGCCUCCUCCUCAGAGCCCUUGCUUUUACAGAGGUUGGGGCUUUCCAAGGCCACACAAAGAGUGGUGAGCAGAGCUCAGUGCAGAGCCCCAGGCCAGGGCUCUUUCCCUGUACACCCCUUCCACACCUGUCUCUACCAGGCUGGCCCCGCAGCUCAACUACCCUGCAUGCAGAUGGGUCCAUGUCUGUGCCUGGGGUUUUGCAGCCAGGCCUGGAUGCUGUCAUCAGAUGACAAUGCCUGGUCCAGGAACAAUGUGCGUAUUGUCACAGCCAGCCCUGGCUCAGAGGGGAAAUGCAGAAAAGUGUGCAUCUGGGCCCGAGGCCCCCAUCUCCUGCUCUCCUCUCCUUGUCGUUUCUCAUGUCAGUCUCUGAUCCUCUGGAUCAGUUGCGGAAGGGUUUCUUCAGGACACCCCUGCUCUCACGCUCUACAGCGCCUCACCCAUGGACCCCGGAUUCUCCUCUGGCUCACUGAUUUGCAGCCCAGGGCUACACUGCCCCUGACUCAACCAGCCAGCUCCACCUGCACCCAGCCUGCAGGCCAUUUCCCCACUUUCUUUCCUUAUUAGAACCACGCAAAUUUUAUCUUUCACAUGGGAACUUUAUCCACCCUAAGAACACUUGUCAGUGAAGCGCCUUUUUUUGAAGCAAGUCCACUUUCCACAUAGCCCCUGAGGCAUCUGUCCUUUUCUCAGAAGCCAAGGGCCCUCUGCGGUCUCCCAGCCUUCUGUGCUGUGUCUCUGCCACCCCACAGCCAUCACAAGGCUGCCUCUUGCUGUCAUGCUGAGUUGGGCUCCAGCCCAGGACUCUGGGGGAGACCAGCACUGGGAACAUCCUGCUGUCAGGACAGACCUGUUUGAUUACGCAGUCCCCAUCCGUGGAUGCAUGGGCUGUUCCCACUUGUGUAAUGUGCUGAAUAAAUUUGUUGUGAACCGAACAAUCUUGUCAUGUCGUGGAUGUAUGCUUUUGUUUCUCUUAGGUCCUCAUCGUAGAGUGGGACUUUUAGGUAAUUGGGUGGUUGUGCUUUUAUUAGAAUAAACCACUAGAUCUUUCUGCAUACCCACCAACCCUGCAUGAGAGUUCUGGUGUCCCUCCUGCCGGUGCUUGGGGUUGUGUCUUUGUGGCUUGAGCUGCUCAGGUAGGUGUGGAUCCAGUCAGCUAGUAGGGUAUUCAAGACUUCUAUCCACGUUGCAGGGAAAAUGGUGUGCUCUCUCUCUCUCUCUCUCUCUCUCUCUCUCUCUCUCUCUUUCUCUCUCUCCCUCCCUCCCUCCUUCUCUCUCUUUCAUUUGUC
ensembl:lincRNA